CUCGUUCUGUCGCCCAGGCGGGAGUGCUGUGGCGCGAUCUCCGCUCACUGCAAGCUCCGCCUUCCGGGUUCACGCCAUUCUCCUGCCUCAGCCUCCCGAGUAGCUGGGACUACAGGCGCCCGCCACUGCGCCCGGCUAAUUUUUUGUAUUUUUAGUAGAGACGGGGUUUCACCGUGGUCUCGAUCUCCUGACCUCGUGAUCCGCCCGCCUCGGCCUCCCAAAGUGCUGGGAUUACAGGCGUGAGCCACCGCGCCCGGCCGACUAUUGCUUUUUAUUGAAAUAGAAUAAAUUUGAGUGACUUACCAGCUCCUGGGCACACAGAUAAUUGUCCUUUAGAGAAAACAACAAUAACAACCUUAAGAGGAAAAAUGGCACUAAAUUAGAAUGCGGUUUUGGUUAUACAAUUUCUGCAAAAUUUAUUAUUGAGUUUCUAGUCAUCAAGGUGAAAAGUGGCUUUCCAAAAGGGAGAGGGAGUAGGUGGUGGUGCUGUGAGGAGAUAAUAAUGACCUUGCCCUUGGGCCCAUCUCUGCAGGGGAGGUGGUGUAGGCUGGUGGUGAUGGGUCCAGGGUUUCAGCUGGAUUCAGUUUUGAAUCUUCUCUUGAUCUUGUUAUAUAAUUUGGAGCAACUUACUCUGCCACCUCUCUUAGCUUCUCUUUUCUGCUUCACAACAUCCACUUCAUAUGAGGAUUAAAUGAGGUCAUACCAAUGUGGGAAAAAGAAAAUUCUCUUUAAAAACCUAAUUUCAGAUGAUUUCAUGUUAAAGGGACUCGACCAAGGAAAAUGUAUCCUUCUGUUUUGGGGCCAUGUACUUCUAGAAGGCAAAGCCCCAGCUGCGUCUGGAUGUAAGGUCAAGAGAAAGAGGGCAGUAACACUAACUGGCUCUGAGUAAGAAGGUGGGAGACUUUUACAUUUUCUCUUUGAAACUCAAGAAAAGGAGUUUGGACCCUGGAACUGGAGGAAAAGGAGAGAGGAGGAAAUGGCCAAAGUGAUCUUUGCCAACAGGCUUGUUGGAUGAUGAAGUAAAGGUUGUUUUCUCUUUCACACUCUGGUUUUUUGUUACCUUUUCCCUAGUCUUCAGUGAAGCUUUACUACUUCCUUAGACUUGUAUUAGCACCGCCUAGACUUGUAUUAGCACGGGAAGGUCACAUUCAGAGCAAGCUGAACAGAGAAUCAAGUACAGAGUUUAGAGCAAGGAACAGGAGCGAGGGUGAGCGAGAUCACCGGGAAAAUGUAAGUUCCUCUCUGGAGCUCCUUGGAAACAGUAGAGAGAGAGCUGAGCUUCUCCUCGUUAUCAAUUUAUUUACAUUUUCUUGUCUUUGUAUUUAUUUGAGCCCAGAUAACUGGAAGACUGGGGACAGGUGAAACAUACUUCCCCACUGAGCAUGUCUACUGCUACCACCUUAGUAUAAGUUAUCAACACUUGGCUUGGAUGACUG
rnacentral:lncRNA from 1 species